rnacentral:rRNA from 1 species
UACGUAGGCAGCAAGCGUUGUUCGGAGUUACUGGGCGUAAAGGGUGCGUAGGCGGCUUUUUAAGUUUGGUGUGAAAUCUCCCGGCUCAACUGGGAGGGUGCGCCGAAUACUGAGAGGCUAGAGUGUGGGAGAGGAAAGUGGAAUUCCUGGUGUAGCGGUGAAAUGGCGUAGAUAUCAGGAGGAACACCGGUGGUGUAAACGGCUUUCUGGACCAUAACUGACGCUGAUGCACGAAAGCGUGGGUAGCAAACAGG